rnacentral:rRNA from 1 species
UACGGGGGGGGCAAGCGUUGUUCGGAAUUACUGGGCGUAAAGGGCUCGUAGGUGGCCAACUGAGUCAUACGUGAAAUCCCUCGGCUUAACCGGGGAACUGCGUCUGAUACUGGAUGGCUUGAGUUCGGGAGAGGGAUGCGGAAUUCCAGGUGUAGCGGUGAAAUGCGUAGAUAUCUGGAGGAACACCGGUGGCGAAGGCGGCAUCCUGGACCGAUACUGACGCUGAGGAGCGAAAGCCAGGGGAGCAAACGGG